rnacentral:rRNA from 1 species
AACAAACGCUGGCGGCGUGCCUAACACAUGCAAGUCGUACGAGAAAGUCUGCUUCGGCAGAUGAGUAAAGUGGCGCACGGGUGAGUAACGCGUGGAUAAUCUGCCCUUCAGUCAGGAAUAACUUACCGAAAGGUGAGCUAAUACCCGAUAACACUUUCCUUCCUCGGGGGGAAAGUCAAAGAAGGCCUCUGUAUACAAGCUUUCGCUGGAAGAUGAGUCCGCGUACCAUUAGCUAGUUGGUAGGGUAAUGGCCUACCAAGGCGAUGAUGGUUAGCUGGUCUGAGAGGAUGGCCAGCCACACUGGAACUGAGACACGGUCCAGACUCCUACGGGAGGCAG